GUCUAGGGCCACACCACCCUGAACGCGCCCCAUCUCGUCUGAUCUCCGAAGCUAAGCAGGGUCGGGCCUGGUUAGUACUUGGAUGUGAGACCGCCUGGGAAUACCGGGUGCCGUAGGCU
rnacentral:rRNA from 1 species